rfam:Dethiosulfovibrio peptidovorans DSM 11002 ctg1, whole genome shotgun sequence.
CGACAGAGCCCGUUCGAGCCCGUCUUUUCGACCUGCUGUCGUGUAGUACGAAUGGGGCGACAGGACGUCGCCCCAAGCCGAGGGGCACAGGACGUGCCCUCCGAGGCGGUCCGUACGAAACAGGCAGGUCGAAAAGACGCUCGGGCGAGACAG